rnacentral:rRNA from 1 species
AGGACGAACGCUGGCGGUGUGCUUCACACAUGCAAGUCGAACGGGGUAGCAAUACCCAGUGGCGGACGGGUGAGUAACGCGUAGAAAUCUGCCUUGAGAUGGGGGAUAACAGUCCGAAAGGAUUGCUAAUACCGCAUAUGUAUACAUUCGGACACGGGUGUAUAUGAAAGGAGUAAUCCGUCUUAAGAUGAGUCUGCGUCCGAUUAGCUAGUUGGUAGGGUAAAGGCCUACCAAGGCGACGAUCGGUAGCUGGUCUGAGAGGAUGAUCAGCCACAAUGGGACUGAGACACGGCCCAUACUCCUACGGGAGGCAGCAGUGGGGAAUUUUGUGCAAUGGGGGAAACCCUGACACAGCGACACCGCGUGAACGAAGAAGCCCUUUGGGGUGUAAAGUUCUGUCGGCUGGAACGAAAAAAAUGACGGUACCAGCAAAGGAGCAUCGGCUAACUACGUGCCAGCAGCCGC